rnacentral:misc_RNA from 1 species
GCGUGAGCAAAUUGUUUGUUUACCUGAUCAGCUGACCAGAGACUCGGACACGAAUUUAAACUUCUGAAUGGUGUCAGCGAGGGAAUGUCGUCUGUUUUUCUGAUGGAUUUUAGAAUGCGAGACAUCUAAAAUGAGCAUCACCCUGUUUGCCACACAUGGACGAGGCUUAGAUGCUUUUGCACAGGAGGAAAUCCAAGAAAAACUGACCAAUGUGUAUAAUGUGCAAACUCUUGGAGAAGGCAAGAUUUCCUUCAGCAUUCCAUUCAAAUCAAGUGACUCUAAUGUGUGUUCAUAUGAAGAGGGUAAAGGAGAUGAUGAAGAAAUGUUAAUUGGUGCUGUGUCUCCUGUAUAUAAUCUUAAACUAGUGGAGAGGGUUUUUAUACUUUUGCACUGUGAAACAUUUGAUACAGGUGAAACCCAUACUGGAAGUGAAAAGGAAACAGAUCAUACCACAGAAAGAAAGAGGAAACCAACGGCCAGUGAUGAGAGUAAUAAUCAACUUUUGAAAAAAUAUGAAAACAAACUUGCUGAUAUCAUAGACAAGGAAAAAUGGGCUAAAGUGGCAUGUCAAGUUCAAGCAUUAAGGACGUUUCAAGAUCAACAAACAAUCCGCGUCCAUUGCCAAGACCCAAGUAGCUGUCAUGGGUCUGUCAGGCGGAGAGCUGAGAAACAGAAAUUAUGGCAGAGGAGAUCUAGCAAAGAAGGCAGAUGUUCAAGGAAAAGAAUGAGGAGAGAGAGUGCCCUUGACCUUUCUGAGAUGAGGUCACCAGAGUCAGAUAUUGCAAGCAGGAAUGUCCUGGCUGUACGUCCUGUGAGGGAAAGAUUAACCGAAACUGUGGAAAUGAACAGAGACAUAACAGACGUGGAUGAUUCAAAAGUGAACUAUGAUAACAGUUUGACAAGUGAUACUAAUCAGAAUGAAAUGGAUGGUCAAGAAGUAACUGAUAAGGUGAUAAUAGAGGAAAAUAGAAUCAGAACUAAUAAUCGUAAGAGGACCAAUGGCAAAUCAUCGAACCCAGAACCGCAGCUGAUGAGUGAGAACGUGAAUUGUACAAGUGGUUUUAGUGAUGUAGAAAAUGGCAUUUCAGGCAUUUCAUCCGUUUCUGAUGUUUGUAAACCAGACUUAAAUACUUACAGAGACACAAAGAAUAUCAUUCAUGAAAAUUCUGUGAAUUACCGUGUGUCGAGCAGGAUAUCUGGUCUGUGCAAAAACGUUGUUACGCAGCAGUUAUUGACUAAAAUGUUUGUAAAAGCAGUUGAAGAAAAAAUGGAAUAUUGGACAGUUGCGUGGAGAAACCCUUUGUUAGAUUUUUAUAUUAAUAUUACCAAUUCCCAUUUUAUUGUAGAACACCUUUCAGGGGUAUCAAUAUCCAGGGAGUCGCUCUCACUGCGGCCGUAUAUUCCACACAUCACCCUGAGGUCCACCGUGGCCUACCUCAUGGCCAGACUAGCGCAAGUACCCCAAGGAGGAGUGGUGCUGGAUCCCAUGUGCGGAGGAGGCACGAUUCUUCUGGAAAUGGCCAAGUGCUUUAAGGCUGGCUUGGUCAUUGGUGGAGACAUAAGCCAGGAGCAGCUAAAAGUAUCAAGGUGCAACUUGCAAGGUGUAGGAGUACCGUUCAGUCUUCUGCGUAUGGAUGCAGUAGGUGAGCAGCAUUCCAUGAACAUAAUAUGACUUUAUCUCUCUAUGCCACUAACGUCUCGGUCAGUCAGCGCUGUAGUGUGUGACGUCCCCUUCGGCCAGAAACACCAGUUGAAAGAUGACGACGAAUCAGCCAUGUUGCGGGGACUCCUGGGUGAAUGCCAGAGAGUGUUGAAGUGCGGUG